rnacentral:rRNA from 1 species
AGUGGCGGACGGGUGAGUAACGCGUGAGAAUCUGGCUUCAGGAGGGGGACAACAGUUGGAAACGACUGCUAAUACCCCAUAUGUCUACGGAUGAAACGGUGAAUUCCGCCUGAAGAUGAGCUCGCGUCGGAUUAGCUAGUUGGUGAGGUAAAGGCUCACCAAGGCGACGAUCCGUAGCUGGUCUGAGAGGAUGAUCAGCCACACUGGGACUGAGACACGGCCCAGACUCCUACGGGAGGCAGCAGUGGGGAAUUUUCCGCAAUGGGCGAAAGCCUGACGGAGCAACGCCGCGUGCGGGAAGACGGCCUGUGGGUUGUAAACCGCUUUUCUCUGGGAAGAAUAAGUUGACGGUACCAGAGGAAUCAGCAUCGGCUAACUCCGUGCCAGCAGCCGCGGUAAUACGGAGGAUGCAAGCGUUAUCCGGAAUUAUUGGGCGUAAAGCGUCCGCAGGCGGCUUAUCAAGUCUGCUGUUAAAGGUCGGGGCUCAACUCCGGUUAGGCAGUGGAAACUGAUAGGCUAGAGUGUGGUAGGGGUAGAGGGAAUUCCCAGUGUAGCGGUGAAAUGCGUAGAUAUUGGGAAGAACACCAGUGGCGAGGGCGCUCUACUGGGCCACAACUGACGCUGAGGGACGAAAGCUAGGGGAGCGAAAGGGAUUAGAUACCCCUGUAGUCCUAGCUGCAAACGAUGGAUACUAGGUGUUG